AUUACUGCUUGUCUUUAAGGUCCACCAGAAAGGAUUUUUUUAAAGUCACAUUAAAAAGUCCAUUUUCCCAGUCUUCAUUAAGAAUAAACUAGUCGUGUGAGAAUAAAGGCCGUAGUUGACUUUGCCCAGUUGUAGGUUUCAAAGCUAAUCAAUGCGUUGAAAAUAGAAAAGCGUGGAAAGAUGCUCUUCUUACCUCCGGUGAAAGCAGUUUCCCAGCUUUGUUAGUACUGUAACCAUCUUUCCCAGAGCAAGAGCAGCGAACGCCAGAGUCACAAGAAGUAGGGGAAAGGUAAUCGGAGCUCUGUCGCGACACACCUCCUCUCUGUGGCUCUCGCGCGCCCUUCACGGUUAACCACGAUCCCGAUCCUGUCAUUUCUGCUCAAUCAUCCAGCAGCUGCUUAUAAAGACCAGGCUGAAGCCUGGGCACGAGGAGCAGGAGCGGGUGGAGGAGGAGUACCGGCACGAGCGCCGAGCCUGCAGACGGACUUCAGCUGGAAGACUCCCAGGGACCCCGCUGCUGCGCGGCUGCAGCUGAAAACCCGAAAGCCGCACGUUAUUGAGCAGAGAUCAGCUUUCCAGGAACAAGCUGGAGCGGCGGCCCAAGCCCCGCUGCUUCCUCGAGGCUCUUGCUAGCAGAUGUGUGUGAACCAAAGCUGGCUGUGUGCUCAGAGAGCGACCCCUGCUACUACUGAGCAUGCUCGACUUUCCAGCUGUCUCACCAGGGCCUUUCAACUGUUGACUUCUCUAGAUGUGAAAAAGGGACAAUGGAGAAGUGGGCAGAGGGGAGAUUCAAUGGAGGUUGACAGAGAUGUUCUGGAAGCGAUCAAUAGCUUUUAGUCUUUAACUCUCUCCGUGCACAAUGAAGUUGCCUCUGGGGUCAAGUAUGUGUUGUACCCAGUGAAAGGAUUUAAUGCUAACAAAUCACUGUCAAUCAAAGAUUAGGUAUGGAAUUGCCUAAAUUUGGAGGUUUAGGCAAUGUGCCACAGAUUAAUUAUUCUCAAUCCGAGUGUAAUAUCCACCUAGGCCACUUUCUUAAAACGUAUUUUAUAAAAGUGUGCAAUUUUUGAAAUUUAAAUGUUAGCUAUGUUAUAAUACAUACGUUUUAAAAACUUAAAUCUUCCACACGGCAGCUCAAUUUAAGCUGAGACUAUCUGGCUAAUUUAUGAUUUCCAAAUCUUUUCUCUGGAUUUAGUAAAUGGCAAGUAAUCCGUUAAUGUUUGUGUGAGAAUGAAUUGUGGGUUUGCUAGGUAAUCUGUAAAUGGCACUUAACAGGAAAGCUGAGGUUCUUGAAUUUGAUAUGCAUCCAUAUUCAGACUCUUGACCUUCUCGGCUUUCUAUUUUGGGCUGCUCCAGUGCUUAAAAAUAGGAAUACACUGUUUUUGCUGUACAUGCAAUACAUAAGCAAAUUGAAUUUUCAAUA